rnacentral:rRNA from 1 species
UGCUUAACACAUGCAAGUCGAACGGCAGCACGGUGCGUAGCAAUACGUAUGGGUGGCGAGUGGCGGACGGGUGAGUAAUACGUAGGGAUCUGCCUUGAAGAGUGGGACAACCCGAGGAAACUCGGGCUAAUACCGCAUGAGCUCUGAGGAGGAAAGGCUGGGUUGAAAGACCUGGUGCUUUGAGAGGAACCUACGUCCGAUUAGCUAGUUGGUAAGGUAAAGGCUUACCAAGGCGAUGAUCGGUAGCUGUUCUGAGAGGAAGAGCAGCCACACUGGGACUGAGACACGGCCCAGACUCCUACGGGAGGCAGCAGUGGGGAAUAUUGGACAAUGGGGGCAACCCUGAUCCAGCGAUGCCGCGUGUGUGAAGAAGGCCUUCGGGUUGUAAAGCAC